rnacentral:rRNA from 1 species
UGGGGAAUAUUGCACAAUGGGCGCAAGCCUGAUGCAGCCAUGCCGCGUGUAUGAAGAAGGCCUUCGGGUUGUAAGGUACUUUCAGUCGGGAGGAAGGUGGUAAGGUUAAUAACCUUAUCAAUUGACGUUACCGACAGAAGAAGCACCGGCUAACUCCGUGCCAGCAGCCGCGGUAAUACGGAGGGUGCAAGCGUUAAUCGGAAUUACUGGGCGUAAAGCGCACGCAGGCGGUUGAUUGAGUCAGAUGUGAAAUCCCCGGGCUUAACCCGGGAAUUGCAUCUGAUACUGGUCAGCUAGAGUCUUGUAGAGGGGGGUAGAAUUCCAUGUGUAGCGGUGAAAUGCGUAGAGAUGUGGAGGAAUACCGGUGGCGAAGGCGGCCCCCUGGACAAAGACUGACGCUCAGGUGCGAAAGCGUGGGGAGCAAACAGG